CUCCCUACGGGGCGCAGCAGUAGGGAAUCUUCCACAAUGGGCGAAAGCCUGAUGGAGCAACGCCGCGUGGGUGAAGAAGGUCUUCGGAUCGUAAAACCCUGUUGUUAGAGAAGAAAGUGCGUGAGAGUAACUGUUCACGUUUCGACGGUAUCUAACCAGAAAGCCACGGCUAACUACGUGCCAGCAGCCGCGGUAAUACGUAGGAUGCGAGCGUUAUCCUGAAUUACUGGGUGUAAAGGGAGCGCAGGCGGGACUGCA
rnacentral:rRNA from 1 species